rnacentral:rRNA from 1 species
AGUGAACGCUGGCGGUAGGCCUAACACAUGCAAGUCGAACGGCAGCACAGGAGAGCUUGCUCUCUGGGUGGCGAGUGGCGGACGGGUGAGGAAUACAUCGGAAUCUACUCUGUCGUGGGGGAUAACGUAGGGAAACUUACGCUAAUACCGCAUACGACCUACGGGUGAAAGCAGGGGAUCUUCGGACCUUGCGCGAUUGAAUGAGCCGAUGUCGGAUUAGCUAGUUGGCGGGGUAAAGGCACACCAAGGCGACGAUCCGUAGCUGGUCUGAGAGGGUGAUCAGCCACACUGGAACUGAGACACGGGCCAGACUCCUACGGGAGGCAGCAGUGGGGAAUAUUGGACAAUGGGCGCAAGCCUGAUCCAGCCAUACCGCGUGGGUGAAGAAGGCCUUCGGGUUGUAAAGCCCUUUUGUUGGGAAAGAAAUCCAUCUGGUUAAUACCCGGGUGGGAUGACGGUACCCAAAGAAUAAGCACCGGCUAACUUCGUGCCAGCCGCCGCAGUAA